UACAGAGGUGCCAAGCGUUAGGCGGAAUCACUGGGCUUAAAGCGCGCGUAGGCGGAUGUUUAAGUGUCUUGUGAAAUCCCACGGCUCAACCGUGGAACUGCCUUUGAUACUGGCGAUCUCGAGUCCGGGAGAGGUGAGUGGAACUGCGAGUGUAGAGGUGAAAUUCGUAGAUAUUCGCAAGAACACCAGUGGCGAAGGCGGCUCACUGGCCCGGUACUGACGCUGAGGUGCGAAAGCGUGGGGAGCAAACAGG
rnacentral:rRNA from 1 species